rfam:Felis catus isolate Cinnamon breed Abyssinian chromosome D2, whole genome shotgun sequence.
GCCUGGGUGGCUCAGUCGGUUGAGCGUCCGGCUUCGGCUCAGGUCAUGAGCUCACAGUUUGUGGGUUCAAGCCCCAUAUUGGGCU